AGAAUCAACGCUGGCGGCGUGCCUAACACAUGCAAGUCGAUCGAGAAAGUGGAGCAAUCCAUGAGUAAAGAGGCGCACGGGUGAGUAACACGUGACUAACCUACCCUCGAGUGGGGAAUAAACCUGGGGAAACCCGGGCUAAUACCGCAUAAUACCCACGGGUCAAAGGAGCAAUUCGCUUGAGGAGGGGUCGCGGCAGAUUAGUUAGUUGGCGGGGUAAUGGCCCACCAAGACGAUGAUCUGUA
rnacentral:rRNA from 1 species